rnacentral:rRNA from 1 species
ACGAACGCUGGCGGCGUGCUUAACACAUGCAAGUCGAACGGAAAGGCCCUGCUUUUGUGGGGUGCUCGAGUGGCGAACGGGUGAGUAACACGUGAGUAAUCUGCCCUUGACUUUGGGAUAACUUCAGGAAACUGGGGCUAAUACCGGAUAGGAGCUUCUGAUGCAUGGUGGGGGUUGGAAAGUUUCGGCGGUUGGAGUUGGACUCGAGGCUUAUCAGUUCGUUGGUGGGGUAGGGGCAUACCAAGGCUUUGACGGGGAGCCGGCCUGGGAGGGUGACCGGCCACAUGGGGACUGAGAUACGGCCCAGACGCCUACGGGAGGCAGCAGGGGGGAAUAUUGCACAGUGAGCGGAAGCCUGAUGCGGCAACGCCGCGUGCGGGAUGACGGCCUUCGGGUUGUAAACCGCUGUCGCCUGUGACGAAGCGUGAGUGACGGUAAUGGGUAAAGAAGCACCGGCUAACUACGUG